CAUGUUUUAAUAAAAAGGAAGGAUAAGGUGACAAAGAAGCAAGAGUUCAGAAAUUAGACUGAUGGCCUAUGGGAUUACCUCAACUAAGAUGAGUUAAAUAAAUGAAGCAUAAUCACAAUUCAUCUUUCAGUUUCCCUUUAUGGUUGAUAAUUCACAGUAACCAAGAUAGAAUUGAAUGA